GAUGAACGCUAGCUGGAGGCUUAAUACAUGCAAGUCGAGCGGGAUUGGGUAGCAAUACCCAUGAGAGCGGCGCACGGGUGAGUAACGCGUACACGACCUACCUCUAACAGGGGGAUAGCCCUGGGAAACUGGGAUUAAUACCGCAUAUAAUUCUGAAUAAUAAAGGUUUGGAAUGAAAGCUGAGGCGGUUAGAGAUGGGUGUGCGUCUGAUUAGCUAGUUGGUGGGGUAACGGCCUACCAAGGCGAUGAUCAGUAGGGGGCGUGAGAGCGUGGUCCCCCACACGGGUACUGAGACACGGACCCGACUCCUACGGGAGGCAGCAGUAAGGAAUAUUGGUCAAUGGGCGAAAGCCUGAACCAGCCAUCCAGCGUGCAGGAAGAAGGCCCUAUGGGUUGUAAACUGCUUUUAUCAGGGAAGAAACCUCUGGAUUUACUCCGGAGCUGACGGUACCUGAAGAAUAAGCACCGGCUAACUCCGUGCCAGCCGCCGCAGUAAAAC
rnacentral:rRNA from 1 species